GGGUCCGUAGCUCAGCCUGGUAGAGCACCUGCCUUUUAAGCAGAGGGUCAUGGGUUCGAAUCCCACCGGGCUCA
rnacentral:tRNA from 1 species